UGGGGAAUAUUGGACAAUGGGCGAAAGCCUGAUCCAGCCAUGCCGCGUGUGUGAAGAAGGUCUUCGGAUUGUAAAGCACUUUAAGUUGGGAGGAAGGGCAUUAACCUAAUACGUUAGUGUUUUGACGUUACCGACAGAAUAAGCACCGGCUAACUCUGUGCCAGCAGCCGCGGUAAUACAGAGGGUGCAAGCGUUAAUCGGAAUUACUGGGCGUAAAGCGCGCGUAGGUGGUUUGUUAAGUUGGAUGUGAAAUCCCCGGGCUCACACUGGGAACUGCAUUCAAAACUGACUGACUAGAGUAUGGUAGAGGGUGGUGGAAUUUCCUGUGUAGCGGUGAAAUGCGUAGAUAUAGGAAGGAACGCCAGAGGAGAAGGCGACCA
rnacentral:rRNA from 1 species